CCUACGGGCGGCAGCAGUGAGGAAUAUUGGUCAAUGGACGAGAGUCUGAACGAGCCAAGUAGCGUGAAGGAUGACUGCCCUAUGGGUUGUAAACUUCUUUUAUAUGGGAAUAAAAUGUUCCACGUGUGGGAUUUUGUAUGUACCAUAUGAAUAAGGAUCGGCUAACUCCGUGCCAGCAGCCGCGGUAAUACGGAGGAUCCGAGCGUUAUCCGGAUUUAUUGGGUUUAAAGGGAGCGUAGGUGGAUUGUUAAGUCAGUUGUGAAAGUUUGCGGCUCAACCGUAAAAUUGCAGUUGAAACUGGCAGUCUUGAGUACAGUAGAGGUGGGCGGAAGUCGUGGUGUAGCGGUGAAAUGCUUAGAUAUCACGAAGAACUCCGAUUGCGAAGGCAGUUCACUGGACUGCAACUGACACUGAGGCUCGAAAGUGUGGGUAUCAAACAGGAUUAGAUACCCCGGUAGUC
rnacentral:rRNA from 1 species